ncrna:unclassified sequences Actino-pnp RNA
AAUGGUCCUCGGUAGUGGCUCACGAAAUGCUGAUUCAGAAAAUAAUUUCGUGGACUUCGAUCGAAGAUUCAUU